rnacentral:lncRNA from 1 species
AAAUUAAUAUGAAAAAUAUCUAAUCAAAUCUUUUCACCCAUCCUACCUCCUUCCAUUCCAACAAAUUUCCCAAUCCCUAAUCAUUUUAAUAUAUCCCUUCUCUCUGUAUAUCUCUCCAUUCUCUUCUCUCUCUUAACCACACACGACCAUUGAUGUGCCAUCAUCACUAGGCUCAAGACACCUUCGGCCGGUCAAUAUCUUAAAUCUGUGAUCACUGAAGGAAAAAGGAAAGAAGCACCAACAUGCGAUGUGUAGUCUCCGAUUUGCAAGAAAAAGGCCCCUCGGGCGGUGCUGCACGCAACACGUGAAAAAAAUGUGUACUACAUAUACAUUUUACCCUAUAUAUUUUCAAUAAUUUUAUUUGCUGAUUGUCAGUUUCUAAGUUGUGAUGUGAUAUUUGAAUUCAAAAUGCUCAAAUGGGAUAGAAUAUUACCAAAAUCUAAAUUCAUGUUCUUAAGUUGUGGAUAUAAAGUUGUCGUUACCUUUUAAACUUGAAACUUUCAAUCAAUCCUAAUUAGUAUUUAAAAGCUCGAUUUUAUAGCUGGCUAAAAUAAAUUCCAACAAUGAACAAAAUUUCUUUUCGAGUUUUAUGUAAUUUAUUAUACCCUUGUAGGUUGAGAAGUGUUUGAUACCUCUAUCUACUUUAGAAAUAUACUCAGAAGUUGUUAGCUUUCUUGCUUUGUGUCCUUGGAAUAAUGCUACCAAGAAAAGGAUUUUUAAAUUUUCUUGCUGUGGAUGUUUUAUUGGACCUAUGGGAUUUCAAACAUAAUUUCUUGAGCCAAGGAUAACACUCAUCUAGUCAGCAGCAUUUGAAGGUGCUUUGGUUUUUGUUUAACAUAAUUCAAAACUUUCAGCGAACUAAAGUAGCCCUCAGGUCUGAGGGAAAGUAAUUGAUUUUCAUAGAUUAAUUUCACUAUCUUAUUCAUAGAUCUUGUUUCAAUUUUAUUUUUCUUUCAGAGGGACUCCAAUGCAAGACUUGUGGUAAACCCCCAGAGGGUCAUUUUUUCUAUUAUGCACAUCAUAACAAGCAACUAGCUAUUAAAGCUAGACAUCUUCCUGAUGACGAAGGCCUGGUGAAAUUGAAGUAAAGCUUUGGAUGUAGAGUUGCUGUGGUCAAUGUAGUCAUAGAUGUCCUAUGUUGUUCUAUUGAUAAUAAAUGAUUUUGAUUUCAAGGAUUUGGUUGUAAUGUAUCGACUUGAAUAACAUCACAUAUCUAUUCACUCUUUGUCAUAUGCAAACAAUAAUAUUUCAAAUUUGGUCGAUGCCCCAGCUGUUAUGUCACAACCUAUAUGCCACAUUACAAU